rnacentral:lncRNA from 12 species
ACAUAGGUAUUUCUUCCUCAGGCUGUCGUUUUUUUCCCUUAAUCUAUCUUCAUGUUCUUUUAAUUGUUUGUCUCUUUUUUCCUCAGUUUCCCUCUUUGCUGUCAACUUGUCUUCUAGGUCACUCACUCGUUCUUCCACCUCGUUAACCCUCGUCGUUAGGACUUCUAGUUUGGAUUGCAUCUCAUUCAAUUGGUUUUUAAUUUCUGCCUGAUUAGCUCUAAAUUCUGCAGUCAUGAAGUCCCUUGAGUCCUUUAUACUUUUUUCUAGAGCCACCAGUAGCUGUAUAAUAGUGCUUCUGAAUUGGCUUUCUGACAUUGAAUUGUAAUCCAGAUUUUGUAACUCUGUGGGAGAGAGGACUGUUUCUGAUUCUUCUUUUGAGGUGAGGUUUUCCUUCUAGUCAUUUUGCUCAGUGCAGAGUGGCCAAAAGCAAGUUGUAUUGGGAAAAAGAGAAAAAGAGAGGAGAGAAAGAAGGAAAGAAAAGAGAAAGAGGAAAAAAAAAAAAAAAAGGGAAGAAAAAGAAAAAAAAAAAAGGGAAGAAAAAGAGAAGAAAAAGAAAGGAGAAAAAAAAGGGGGUGGGGGAAGGAAACAAAUCAAAAAGCAAAACAAAACAAAACAAAACAAAACAAAACAAAACCAAACAAACAAAAAAAGAACCACCGGGGAGUAUCUUCUGAUUCUGUGUACUUUAAGUCCCUUGGCUUCUCCUGGAAGUUGUCCGUCUAGCUGGUCUUCUGGGGGAGGGGCCUGCUGUGCAGAUUUUCAGGUGUUAGCAGUUGGGGGAGCUGCUGUGCCCCUGCCUGGUGCAGGGCUCAGUGGGGGUUGUUUACCCCGUGAGGCUGCAGGAGGAACAGCCCCAGUGGCGGGGCCAGCUCUGGAAACCUGGAUUCAGCUCCGGCAGGAACUCCGUCUGCAGGGCCUGGAGGCUCCGGGCGGGGCCGCUGAUCUGCUCAGCUGGGGCAGGAGCGUCCUUGCUGUCCUGGGCCCUCCCGGCCUCUGCCUGUCCCGGGGGAGGCGGGAUCCUGGGCUGUGUCCCGGCGCCCUGUGCUCCGGAGCCUGCGCUGGUGGAUUCGCGCUCCCGGGCCGCGCAGCCCCCUCCGCGGAGCCGCCGCCCGACCCCUCCGAGCUGCUCCUGGAACCGCGCAGCCCCCUCCGCACGGAGCCUCUUCCUCUGCCCGAGCCCCUCCGAGCUGCUCCCGGGGCCGCGCAACCCCCUCCGCGGAGCCGCCGCCCGAGCCCCUCCGAGCUGCUCCGGGUCCCACCGUGCGCGCUGCAG